GACGGGGGGUCCAAGCGUUGUUCGGAAUCAUUGGGCGUAAAGGGUGCGUAGGCGGUCGUGCAAGUCGGAUGUGAAAUCUCAGGGCUCAACCCUGAAACUGCAUUCGAUACUGCGCGGCUAGAGUGCUGGAGGGGAGACUGGAAUUUACGGUGUAGCAGUGAAAUGCGUAGAUAUCAAGAGGAACACCUGAGGUGAAGACGGGUUGCUGGGCUGACACUGACGCUGAGGCGCGAAAGCCAGGGGAGCAAACGGG
rnacentral:rRNA from 1 species